ACGCUGGCGGCGCGCUUAACACAUGCAAGUCGAACGAGAAAGGGAGCGAUCCUGAGUAAAGUGGCGUCACGGGUGAGUAACACGCUGGGUAAUCUACCCUCUGGUGGGGAAUAACUCUGGGAAACCGGACCUAAUACCGCAUAAGAUCGUGAAAUGAAAGGGCAAAAAUUCGCCCGAGGAGGAUCCCGCGGCUGAUUAGCUAAUUGGUAAGGUAAAAGCCUACCAAGGCUGAGAUCGAUAGCCGGACUGAGAGGGCACACGGUCACACUGGCACUGAAACACGGGCCAGACUCCUACGGGAGGCAUCUAGUGAGGAAAUCUUGCACAAUGGAUGAAACUCUGAUGCAUCAACGCCGCGUGAGUGAUGAAUCCCUAUCUGGGUGUAAAGCUCUUUCGACCCACAAGAUUAUGACAGUACGGCGGAGAAUAAGCUGCGGCUAACUACCUGCCAACUACCGCGGUAAUACGUAUGCCUCGAACGUUGUUUGGAGUUACUGGGCGUAAAGCAUGCUUAAGCUGUGUCUUAAGUUUGUUGAGAAAUCUCCCGGCUUAGCCGGUAGGGUGCGGCAUAAUACUGACAUGCUGAGAGUGACGGAAACGUAAACGGAAUUCCUGGUGUAGCGGUGAUAUGCGUAGAUAUCAGGAGGAACACCUGCGGAGUAGACGGCUUACUGGACGGUAACUGACGAUGAGGCACGAAAGCGUGGGUAGCAAACAGGAUUAGAUACCCUGGUAGUCCACGCCCUCGACGAUGCAUACUUGGCAUGGGCGGUUCAGUCUGUCCGUGCCGAAGCUGACGCGAUAAGUAUGCCGCCUGGGGAGUUCGGUCGCAAGGCUGAUACUCGAAGGAAUCGACGGGGGCCCGCACAAGCGGUGGAGCAUGUGGUUUAAUUCGACGCAACGAGAAGAACCUUACCCGGGCUCGAACGGCUUCGGACCGCCGAUAGAAAUACUUGGCUUUCCCGCAAGGGACUGGAGUCGAGGUGCUGCAUGGCUGUAGUCAGCUCGUGUCGUGAGAUGUUGGGUUAAGUCCCGCAACGAGCGCAACCCCUUGUCCUGUGUUGCAACUAAUAGGCACUCUCAGGAGACCGCCAGCGAUAAGCUGGAGGAAGGUGGGGAUGACGUCAAGUCAUCAUGGCCUUUAUGUCCAGGGGUACACACGUGGUACAAUGGACGGUACAAACCGGUGCCAACUCGGGAGAGGGAGCUAAUUGGAAAAAACCGUUCUCAGUUCGGAUUGCAGUCUGCAACCCGCGUGCAUGAAGCUGGAAUCGCUAGUAAUGGUAUAUCAGAACGAUACCGUGAAUACGUUCCCGGGCCUUGUACACACCGCCCGUCACAUCAUGAAAGUGGGUUGUACUAGAAGUCUGCGCCCUAACCCGCAAGGGGAGGAGCGGCCCAAGGUAUGAUUCAUGAUUGGGGUGAAG
rnacentral:rRNA from 1 species